rnacentral:rRNA from 1 species
UACGAAGGGGGCUAGCGUUGUUCGGAAUCACUGGGCGUAAAGGGCGCGUAGGCGGCUUUAUAAGUCGGGGGUGAAAGCCUGUGGCUCAACCACAGAAUUGCCUUCGAUACUGUAGAGCUUGAGACCGGAAGAGGUAAGUGGAACUGCGAGUGUAGAGGUGAAAUUCGUAGAUAUUCGCAAGAACACCAGUGGCGAGGGCGGCUCACUGGCCCGGUACUGACGCUGAGGUGCGAAAGCGUGGGGAGCAAACAGG